rnacentral:rRNA from 1 species
AUGAAUGCAAGGAAAGAUGAUUUGGAUGAUGUAUUGAAACUCGUAUCUUUCUUCAAAGACAUGAAGGCAAUCAAUGAUGAGUUUUUCUAUGACAUACAAGUAGACAGCGACAAGUCAAUUAAAAACAUUUUCUGGUCCAAUGCAAGCUGCCGAGGAGCGUAUCAAGACUUUGGUGAUUGUGUAACAUUCGACACAACUUGCAAGACCAACAGAUUUCAUAUGCCUCUUGGAGUGUUUGUUGGAACAAACCAUCAUUUGCAAUCAACAAUAUUUGUUGUUGCCCUGAUCAGAGACGGAGAUGCAAAGUCAUUCAAGUGGCUGCUCGAUACAUUUGUACGGUGCAUGAACAACAAACACCCAACUUGCAUUCUAACAGACCAGUGCCCGUCGAUGGGGAAAGCUAUACCACAAUCAUUCCCAAGCACCGUCCACAAGCUAUGCCGUUGGCACAUCCUGAAGAAGUUCAAGGAAUACCUCGCGUUGUUGUACAAAAAGUAUAAAACAUUCAAAGAGGAGUUCACAACAAUCUUAAACUGGCCGCUAAUGCCAACGGAGUUUGAAGCUGCCUGGGCUGAACUCGUGCAAAAGUACAACCUGCAGAAUGACCAGAUGAUGAUGCAGCUGUGGAAUGAUAGAAAAAUGUGGAUACCAGCAUAUUACAAGAACAUUUUCUAUGCUAGAAUGACUUCUACACAACGAAGCGAGAGCAUGAAUCACAUGCUCAAGAGAGGGUUUGUCAAGGGGACCCGGAACUACACAAGUUUGCUAGGAGGGUAA